rnacentral:rRNA from 1 species
AGAGUUUGAUCCUGGCUCAGGACGAACGCUGGCGGCGUGCCUAACACAUGCAAGUCGAACGGAGAUUUUAGUAAUGAAAUCUUAGUGGCGAACGGGUGAGUAACGCGUAGACAACCUACCUUCGAGAUGGGGACAACACUGCGAAAGUGGUGCUAAUACCGAAUGUUGUAUCUUGGUUGCAUAACUAAGAUACUAAAGAUGGCCUCUAUUUAUAAGCUAUCGCUAGAAGAUGGGUCUGCGUCUGAUUAGCUAGUUGGUGAGGUAAUGGCUCACCAAGGCGACGAUCAGUAGCCGGUCUGAGAGGAUGGACGGCCACACUGGGACUGAGACACGGCCCAGACUCCUACGGGAGGCAGCAGUGGGGAAUCUUCCGCAAUGGACGAAAGUCUGACGGAGCAACGCCGCGUGAGUGAAGAAGGUUUUCGGAUCGUAAAACUCUGUUUUCAGGGACGAAUGUGCAGCUUGUAAAUAAUGAGUUGUAA